AGUGAACGCUGGCGGUAGGCCUAACACAUGCAAGUCGAACGGCAGCACAGAGGAGCUUGCUCCUUGGGUGGCGAGUGGCGGACGGGUGAGGAAUACAUCGGAAUCUACUCUGUCGUGGGGGAUAACGUAGGGAAACUUACGCUAAUACCGCAUACGACCUACGGGUGAAAGCAGGGGACCUUCGGGCCUUGCGCGAUUGAAUGAGCCGAUGUCGGAUUAGCUAGUUGGCGGGGUAAAGGCCCACCCAGGCGACGCUCCGUAGCUGGUCGGGGAGGAGCAUCAGCCACCCUGGAACUGAGACACGGUCCAGACUCCUACGGGAGGCAGCAGGGGGGAAUAUUGGACAAUGGGCGCAAGCCUGAUCCAGCCAUACCGCGUGGGUGAAGAAGGCCUUCGGGUUGUAAAGCCCUUUUGUUGGGAAAGAAAUCCAGCUGGCUAAUACCCGGUUGGGAUGACGGUACCCAAAGAAUAAGCACCGGCUAACUUCGUGCCAGCCGCCGCCGUAA
rnacentral:rRNA from 1 species